GGCCGCCUCCCGCCUCCCCGCCUCCCGCGUGCUGCCGCCUUCGGGGAUGUCCUGCUCCCCGGGAACGCCGUGCCCCGGACGCCGGGGCACCGCCGUCGCCGCCCGGCUACGCUCCCCGCCGCCGCGCGCGCCCUGGAGCCCAGGAGAGGGCAGGUGCGGGGGACCCAGGCAGGCUGGACGCAGGCCGACUGCUCUCCCAGAAGCCGUCUGUACCCACCCCACACUGCACCCUGCCGCCCUCCACCUUUUUUCCCUGACCCCAAGGAGGUGGAAAGAUAAUCUGGCCUGCCCAUUCCUCCACAUCUGCGUGCUGGAUUCCGCCUUUCAGGGGCUGUUAGCUUAAGGCUCUCCAGGCUGAGGAGAGCAAACGGGGGAUUUGGCUGUUAGAAACUGACUAAACUGACAAACCCAACUUCCAAGAUGGAUGACUAGGGAACCUCUCUCAAAGUUGGGGCACGUCACCAAAAGCAAACAGCACCACUUCAAGAAGGAAUACAUUUGCACAGCAUUGUAAAUCAACUAUACUUCAAUAAAAAAAAGUUUUUUUGAA